AUUUUCUUUGUUUUAAUCGCGUUUACAGAAAUGAUAAGCGUUUCGACGUUUCGGAGCCGCGGUCAUUAUUUUGCCGGCCCACCUGAUCCUCGUGGGACUGUUCGGGAAGCGUUCCGCCAUACUGAUCUAAACCGGAUGUCAUCUCGGCUGGCGAUUAUUCUUUCCAAGAUGUUGGUUUGACGUUCUUCAAUUCACGAGUUUCUUGAAGAUCAACGGUUGUUUCGUG